rnacentral:rRNA from 1 species
CCCUUAGAUGUUCGGGGCUGCACGCGCGCUACACUGGUGCACUCAACAAGUUUACAACCUUGAUCGAUAGGUCUGGGUAAUCUUUUGAAUAUGCACCGUGCUAGGGAUAGAUUAUUGCAAUUAUUAAUCUUGAACGAGGAAUUCCUAGUAAAUGCAAGUCAUCAGCUUGCGUUGAUUACGUCCCUGCCCUUUGUACACACCGCCCGUCGCACCUACUGAUUGGAUGACUCGGUGAAGAAUCGGGACCGUGAGAACAAUCGAUUCAUUUCGAAUGUACUUGUGGGAACCUUUCUUAACCUCGUUUUCUAGAAGAAGGUGAAGUCGUAACA